CAGUCUGAAAUUGGAAUGUGAGAAAUUAGCGAGCGAAAAAACAGAGAUGCAGAGGCAUUAUGUUAUGUAUUAUGAGAUGUCCUACGGCCUGAAUAUUGAAAUGCAUAAGCAGGCUGAGAUUGUCAAGCGGCUGACUGCUAUCUGUGCCCAGAUUAUCCCGUUUCUCACGC